UCUUUCCUAUUUUUUUAUUUGAUUCAAACUUAUAAUAUUACUCUUCAAUCGUUUCCUAUUUUUUUGAUUUGGUUCCCAUAAAAUCUGCAAUUAAAUCAUUAGUUUCCAAACCCAAAUAAAGAAUCUGCCUCUUCUUUCUUCUCUCUCUCUCUCUCUCUCUCUCUCUCUCUCUCUCUCUCUCUCUCCAACAAAUCUGACAAUUUCUUUCGCCACCAAGUUGCCAUUCCUCACGACAACCACCACUACGAUCAUCCAUCUCCACAGCCGUCACUGCACCCCACUGACCUACAAACUCACCCUCAUCGACAGAUCUGGAAAUUAGCAAGAACAGACAAAGGUUCGGAUUCUUCUCAUUACAUUAUGUUCUUAAACUUAGAGCAAGGAAUUUGGUGGUUAUUUUUCUUCUCAAUGCAGCUAAUUCAACUUUAUGCAUUCAAUUGAGGCUGUUGCUACACUCAAGUUUCUUUCCAUGUUUGUUAUAUACUUUUAAAUAAAAGAUGUUGUUAGCCUAUAUUGAUUAUUUAGUUUAGUAGUUACUUUAUGUUUUAGAUUGUAUCAUGUAUGGAACUUCAAGAUGAAACUCCUAAGAAAAAAAUAAAUAAAUAAGAAGGCAGAAAAAACCCAAGAGGGUGAAUCGUACAAGGUUAAAUGAAAAAAUAGCAAGGUUUGAAAUUACAUAUAACAUCAAGAUCUCUUUUUACCUAAAUCUAACUAUAACAUACAUAGGGUUUGUUAAUGAUUGUGUUAAUGACAUUUAAUAGGUUUGAAAUUGCAUUCUGGUUAUUAUAUCACUGCAUGUAAUCUUGCUUAUUAAGAGGUAAAUGUUGAUACCUCACAAGCACAAGUGUUUUUUUCAUUAUUUAACUUUUCAAGUAAAAAGUCCCGCACAUUGACUAUUUGACAUAUUCAAUGUCGAUUCAUGACAUACUUCAUCUUUUUUUUUUUUUUUUGCUUUUGCUUUAAUGAAGUUGAUGCAAGUUUAUGGUGCAUUGAUGCAAUCACUCAGACACAAGGUUGUAGAAAGAUAUUUCAUUAAGUAUUUGAAUAUGUUCUUUUUAAAUGUCUUCACUGAAAAAAAAAGGUUAGAGGACUACUAAAUUGAUUUAUGCUUCCUAAGAUAUAUACAUGUUUGAUUUUUUUUUUUAGAUUUAGAUUUUUGUUUUGUAUUUUAAUAUUCCAAUGCAUACACUUAAGGUUUGUUGUAGAUUUUUAAGAGUUCGUAUAAAUUUGAAAGGGUUCUGGAAUGGGUUUGGUGGAAAGGGCAUUUUGGUAAAAAAAUAAGGAAAGAAAGAAAUGUAUAUUGGGGUUUCAAAAUUUGUUUUGGGCAUGGCUCAAGUCUUAUUGUUUGAUGCAUGAUGUAUUUAAAGUUAUUAUGCUUGCAUUGUUUGAUGCAGGACGAAGUUAAUCAAACAAAGAUUUAGAAAUAUUUAUUCAAAUUGACGAGUCUACCCUUGAGGCCGAUGGAGUUAUUUACACAAAUAAAGAUGAAAAACAAGUUGGAUGAUGGUAUUUGAAGCUCACCCAACGAAUUUAUUUUUGACCGUUAUACUGAAACAUGCUGACUGUUACUGUGGGUUUACCUUUUCAAGAUUUCAGUACAUUUGACUUAUUGGGUCUUGUGAUUAAACAUUUUUUCCACUUUAAACACAUAAAAAAUCAAAGUUGUCUGGAACUCUCAAUUGGGUUGUAUCAACUAUGGUUGGAGUUUUCGCUGCAUGUUAUAUGGAGGCAUAAAGGAAGCCUCUACUUCUGUUGUAAGUAUGAAUGUGCACAAAAAGGUCUUCAUAUGGAGGCAUAUCGGGACAUCUCAUACUUUUAACAUUAUUUAUUGAUUAUGAAAUUAAUUUUAUGUUAUUUUACUUUCUCAUCCGUG